rnacentral:rRNA from 1 species
UACGUAGGGGGCAAGCGUUGUCCGGAUUUAUUGGGCGUAAAGAGCGUGUAGGCGGCCAGAUAGGUCCGUUGUGAAAACUCGAGGCUCAACCUCGAGACGCCGAUGGAAACCAUUUGGCUAGAGUCCGGAAGAGGAGAGUGGAAUUCCUGGUGUAGCGGUGAAAUGCGCAGAUAUCAGGAAGAACACCCGUGGCUAAGGCGGCUCUCUAGUACGGUACUGACGCUGAGACGCGAAAGCGUGGGGAGCAAACAGG